rnacentral:tRNA from 1 species
CGGGAUAUAGCGCAGUUUGGUAGCGCGCUACCUUGGGGUGGUAGAGGUCGUGGGUUCAAAUCCCGCUAUCCCGACCA